UACGGGGGGGGGCAAGCGUUGUUCGGAAUUACUGGGCGUAAAGGCUCGUAGGCGGCCAACUAAGUCCGACGUGAAAUCCCCAGGCUUAACCUGGGAACUGCGUCGGAUACUGGAUGGCUUGAAUCCGGGAGAGGGAUGCGGAAUUCCAGGUGUAGCGGUGAAAUGCGUAGAUAUCUGGAGGAACACCGGUGGCGAAGGCGGCAUCCUGGACCGGCAUUGACGCUGAGGAGCGAAAGCCAGGGGAGCAAACGGG
rnacentral:rRNA from 1 species